rnacentral:miRNA from 1 species
CCUCAAAAUCAAGCGGAAGGAUUCCUUCCAGGCGAAGAGGUUACAAAAGCUCUUUGACCGGAGGGAUUCCUUAUGGUCAAAGGGGUUCUGUAGCCUCUUUGACUGGAAGGAAUCCUUUUGGUUGAAGAGGUUUUGUAACCUCUUUGACUGGAAGGAAUCCUUCCGCUUGAAGAGG